CGUUUAAAAACGACGGCAAAUGUAUGUCAGCUUUACCUUUUUCCCUCUUAUCUACGUUUUUUUUUUUGUUUGAUUUUUGUGUGUGUGUGUGUGUGUAGCUGCUGGGCUCCAUACGCCAGCGAAAGACGUACAGAGAGAGCGUGCCUAGUGGCCGUGUUGCCCCCUCUGUUUUGAAUUUUUCUAGAUACUCAUUCAAGACAUCUAGCGGCUACUAUCGAACGUCUCACCGGAUUGAUCCACAACAAAAAGGGGGAAAAAAAGUUGGAAAUUUUUUGGUUCUUUUCUCUUCCUAAUCUGGAAAUCUCGAAUACGGGAAGAAUGAAAACAACAGAAACCCCGUUUUAAGAAGAUGAGAAAAAAAAAACUAGAGCCAUAUGCGGAAUGCGACAUGAAUAACUGCGUAAAUCUUGGACUGGGAAAAUGCAAGCCCGUGGGUUGCUACAGACAAUGCAAUGCAAACUUGCUUCAUCAAGAGUGGGACGAAAGUGAAUUGUGACGUAAUUGCUCUCACCUGUUGGGGAAUGGUUACGGUCCAGAUCUUGAGGAUUCCAUUUCGCUGUUGCUGGCUGGAUUGAUGCACUCAAUUUCACCUGCACUCCCACCUAAAGAAUUUGGAAUUUGUUUUCGACACAGGGUGUGUGUCUGUUGGUGUGAGUGGUUUUCGGCACCUCACAACAUGAAGAGGGGGACUAGGAGGAGGGAGGACAAGGACAUUGGAAUGCGUGCGUGCGUAUGUGAUUGGCUAAAAUUAGCUAGUCGAACUUAAUAACUAAAGGAAGAGAACCUUUCGGUGGUAGGCAAUGAUUGGGUCUAGUUCUUCCUACCUUGGUGAGCGCGUGUCGUACUCAUGGUUCCAGCACGAUCAUCAAUCAGACGUCUCUCGCGACUAACAAGGUUGUGGAAGGUGUCAAAUAAACUAGUGCUCCUAUUAUCCGUCGACCGAAUUCCUCGACGAGACAAGGCACUGUUGGAACUUUUUAAAAUAAGAAUGGGGUCGUUCGACUUCGACUCCCUUGGUCACACAAACAACAAAGAUCUUGCGCUCAAACUGUCAUAUUUUCUUUUUACUGCGAGACAAAGCGUUGCCAGUUCAUCGAAUAGGCUUGCUUUGUUCAGCCAAUUUCUGAAUUAUUCUACCUUUUUGUUUGUGUUUUUAUUAUGAAGUGCCUUGUCAUUCUUUCACAAGCAUUGUGAAAGAAUUUUAAAGCAUAAAAUUCCGGGAGAUAAAUGCCAAUUAAUGUCGUGACGCCGCCAUCUGCAAGGGCAGGAAUGGCGCCAAAUGCUGGCGCGGAAUCUCCCAAUCACCAGAAACUUUUCUGCUCGUUGGUAUGGCGCGAAAAAUUUAAUUUGCUAGAAUCUUUCCUCUAUUCUUCAAGUGGUGUUUUAGUUUACCGCUAGAUGGCGUGGGUGGGUUAAACUAACCUCAUUAUAAAUAGAAAAACAAAAUCAAGGCAGCGGGAAAAAGCGAGGCGGUUCAAAAACGAAAAGAAAAAAGAAACAAGAAGUAAAUAUCGAAUCAAAGGACAUCAACUUUAAAUUAGGAAUUCGAUUAGGUCCACCGAUUUUCUGGAGGGCGAAUAGUAGUCUAGCAACGCAUGUAAACUACGCACAUCAGGUAAUUAUACGCGUCAUUUUCCGUAGCUGAAAGCUUUACUUACAUCACGACUGACGUAUUACUCGUACCAAAGCGUAAUCAACAAAGUUACAAAAAUCAAGUGGGAAUUCACGAAGGUCAUUGAUUUUAGUUGAUGCUUUGAUUUUUUUUGUUUUGAUUUUUUCGGCCACUUUAAACCUGGUUCGCCAAGGCCAGUAAGGAAGAAAGCAUUUCGGCAAGCAAAAGGUCGUUAAAAGGACGUCAUUAUUUAUGCAAUUCUACAAGACAGACGAGAUAGAGAUAGGGCGGAAAGAGAGAGAAAUGGGAGAAAGUGUCGUCACGUGUGUCGUCAUAACCCGGAUCUCGAUCUCAAGUUCAGCGAAAAAUACAAAAAAUAAAAUAAAAAAAAAGAACAACAAAAAAAAAACAAAAAAACAACGACUGCAUGGGACGGAUGGCAUG
rnacentral:lncRNA from 1 species